rnacentral:tRNA from 1 species
GCUUUUAUAGUUUAAUAAAACUUUAGUCUUGUAAACUAAUAAUGGCUAUCCCCUAAAAGCU